AUAAUCUACAGAUUGUUGGUUAAAUAUUCUCUGAUGUAAAUUAUAUGAAUUGAUGUAUAGUUUGUUGAAAGUAGAUGUUAAUAAUUACGUGCCAAUUGUUAAGUUUUGAUAUAUAAUCUAUAUAUCCAUGUGUUGCCAAAUAUAUAUGUUAUAAAGAUAUGAUGUGCAUUCAUAAUGUUCAAAAAGAUAUUGUUAUGUAUGAAGAUAUGAAAAUGCUACCUCAAAUCAAAAGCCUGAAUUUUCACAUGAAUUGUUUACAUUCAUACUCAGGAAGAAAAGUUAUAUAUAUGUUAAUUCUACUCAUGUAUUCAAAAUUUAUUGAUAUGAUAUUUCAAAAUGCAAUAUCAUCAUUUUCACCAUGAUAUAGUUUCAUAUCAAUUUGAAUGAGAACACUCCAUGACAUUUGUGUCAUUCACAAAAGUAAACAAAAAGUUAUACAAGUUUUUGAUGUACAUAAUGUGAUAGGUUAUGCAAUGUAUAUAUAUAAGUAUCAUUCAGUGAAUUGGAAAUGGGUG
rnacentral:lncRNA from 1 species